AUGUGCAUUCCAAAGGAGAAAGGAGCAAUGGGUUUCCGUGAUAUACACAAUUUUAACUUGGCGCUUCUAGCAAAAAAAUGUUGGAGACUCAUUGAGUACCAUGAAUCACUAUGUGCAAGGGUCUUGCGUGCUAAAUAUUACCCUAGUGGCGAAUUACUAAACUGCAGUCUGAAGAAAGGCUCUUCAUUUGUGUGGCAGAGUAUAUGGGCAUGA
rnacentral:rRNA from 1 species